rnacentral:rRNA from 1 species
ACACGUAAGUAACCUGCCUCUUAGACGAGGAUAACAGUUGGAAACGACUGCUAAGACUGGAUAGGAAGUUUUAAGGCAUCUUGAAACUUUUAAAAGACCCGCAAGGGUAUGCUAAGAGAUGGGCUUGCGGCACAUUAGUUAGUUGGUAAGGUAACGGCUUACCAAGACUAUGAUGUGUAGCUGGACUGAGAGGUUGAACGGCCACAUUGGGAUUGAGAUACGGCCCAAACUCCUACGGGAGGCAGCAGUAAGGAAUUUUCGGCAAUGGAGGAAACUCUGACCGAGCAACGCCGCGUGAACGAUGAAAUAUUUAGGUAUGUAAAGUUCUUUUAUUAAAGAAGAAAAAAUGAUGGAAAAAUCAUUCUGACGGUAUUUAAUGAAUAAGCCCCGGCUAACUAUGUGCCAGCAGCUGCGGUAAUACAUGGGGGGCAAGCGUUAUCCGGAUUUAUUGGGCGUAAAGGGUGUGUAGGCGGUUUAAUAAGUCUAUGGUAUAAGUUCAACGCUUAACGUUGUGAUGCUAUGGAAACUGUUUGACUAGAGUUGGAUAGAGGCAAGUGGAAUUCCAUGUGUAGCGGUAAAAUGCGUAAAUAUAUGGAGGAACACCAGUAGCGAAGGCGGCUUGCUGGGUCUUAACUGACGCUGAGGCACGAAAGCGUGGGGAGCAAACAGGAUUAGAUACCCUGGUAGUCCACGCCGUAAACGAUGAGUACUAAGUGUUGGGUUAAACCAGUGCUGAAGUUAACACAUUAAGUACUCCGCCUGAGUAGUACGUACGCAAGUAUGAAACUUAAAGGAAUUGACGGGACUCCGCACAAGCGGUGGAUCAUGUUGUUUAAUUCGAAGAUACACGAAAAACCUUACCAGGUCUUGACAUACUCUGCAAAGCUAUAGAAAUAUAGUGGAGGUUAUCAGGGAUACAGGUGGUGCAUGGUUGUCGUCAGCUCGUGUCGUGAGAUGUUGGGUUAAGUCCCGCAACGAGCGCAACCCUUAUCGCUAGUUACCAUCAUUUAGUUGGGCACUUUAGUGAGACUGCCAAUGAUAAAUUGGAGGAAGGUGGGGAUUACGUCAAAUCAUCAUGCCCCUUAUGACCUGGGCUACAAACGUGAUACAAUGGCUGUUACAAAGAGUAGCUGAAGCGUGAGUUUUUAGCAAAUCUCAAAAAAACAGUCUCAGUUCGGAUUGAAGUCUGCAACUCGACUUCAUGAAGUCGGAAUCGCUAGUAAUCGCGAAUCAGCAUGUCGUGGUGAAUACGUUCUCGGGGUUUGUACACACCGCCCGUCAAACCAUGAAAGUUGACAAUACUCGAAACCAGUAGCCUAA